rnacentral:lncRNA from 1 species
AGCUCAGCAGGGAAGCCGCGGGCUCCUGACAUCUGUGGCCAAACCUGCGCUGCUCUGUGAGGAAGGAUGGGGGAGAGCCAGAGCCGGCAGCGCAGGGAGCACGCAUGUUCACAUACACACGCCACACCACACAGGGUCUCAUGUAUACACACACACCACACGCAUGCACAGUCACACAUGCACCUCCCCCAGCAGUCUCACACCCACAUCAUACACCCCCACCCAUACCCACUCUCUCUCACACACACACACCAUACACACAGUCACACACACCACACAAUCACACACACACCACACACCCUCACCCAUACCCAGUCUCACACACACACCACAUAGUCACACACACCACACCCCUAACCCAUACAGCCUCACAUACAUACACACACCACACACAGUCAUAUACACACCACACCCCCAACCCAUACACAGUCUCGCAUACACAUACACACACCACACACCUUCACCCAUACCCAGUCUCACACACACACCACACACACAAUCACACACACCACACACCCUCACCCAUACCCAGUCUCUCUCUCACACACACACACCCCACGUAGUCACACACACCACAUUCCUGACCCAUACAGCCUCACAUACAUAUACACACACCACACAUAUAAUCACACACCACACACCCCCACCCAUGCAGUAUCACAUACACCACACACCUAGUUACACACAUACCACACACACCCCCCACCAUACACAGUCUUACAUACACAUAUACACACUACACAUGUAGUCACACACACCACACCCCCAACCCAUACACAGUCUCAUACACAUACACACACCACACAAUCACACACACCACACACACCCUCCCAUACACAGUCUCAUACACACACACACCACACACCUAGUCACACAUAUACCACACACACCCCCACCCAUACAGUCUCUCACACACACACACACCACACAGUCACACAAACCUCCCCACAACAGUCUCACACACACACCAUACACCUCCACCCCCACAGCCUCAUAUCCACGCACCACGCAGUCUCACACACACCACACAUAUCACACACUCCCAUCCCCACAGUCUCAUGUACACAUAUACACCCCACACACAUAGUCACACACACCACACACAGUCACACACACACCUCCCCCGACAGUCUUACAUACACAGUCUCACACACACCACACACCCCCACCCACACAUUGAGUCUCUGGUACACAUAUAACCACACACACCACACCUACCCCCAACUCUCACAUAAGCCCACAGUCACACACAUACCUCCCACACACAGUUUCACAUAUAUAUAUGGUGACACACACACAUUGCACAUAUACCCCUCAAAGUCUC